rnacentral:snoRNA from 1 species
CUUCUUCAGAGAAUAGCCAGGGGCAGAGCGAGUGGUGUGUGGCUGUGGUGGGGCGCGGAAGGUAUGUGUGGGGAUGCUAGGGGGUACGUGCGCUGCGUGAGGCGUGUGCAUGGGUUGAGUGGCGCGCGUGUGGAGCCCCUGCGCUACGGCACUUCUUUCCUCAUUUACACGUUGAUCUUAUUUGAUCGGGCCGGGAUGCUGCCGCCUCCCCAGGCCUGAGAUGAGAAGAACCCUUCUCCCUGCGAAGCCCUCGGGCGCUGUGCAGUGAAGCAGGUGAAGCGAGCGGGCGGCGUUUUAAGCCGGAGGUGAUGAACUGAUCAGAUAGACGAGGCUGGAGGCUGCGGGGGGGUUCCCUUCCCCCUCCUCCUGGCCAAUGUGUAUCGGAGCGAUUCUGAUCCGG